AUUGAACGCUGGCGGCAUGCCUUACACAUGCAAGUCGAACGGUAACAGGUCUUCGGAUGCUGACGAGUGGCGAACGGGUGAGUAAUACAUCGGAACGUGCCCGAUCGUGGGGGAUAACGAAGCGAAAGCUUUGCUAAUACCGCAUAAGAUCUACGGAUGAAAGCAGGGGAACGCAAGGCCUUGCGCGAACGGAGCGGCCGGUGGCAGAUUAGGUAGUUGGAGGGAUAAAAGCUUACCAAGCCGACGAUCUGUAGCUGGUCUGAGAGGACGACCAGCCACACUGGGACUGAGACACGGCCCAGACUCCUACGGGAGGCAGCAGUGGGGAAUUUUGGACAAUGGGCGAAAGCCUGAUCCAGCCAUGCCGCGUGCAGGAUGAAGGCCUUCGGGUUGUAAACUGCUUUUGUACGGAACGAAAAGACUCUUUCUAAUAAAGAGGGUCCAUGACGGUACCGUAAGAAUAAGCACCGGCUAACUACGUGCCAGCCGCCGCGGUAAGAC
rnacentral:rRNA from 1 species